UCGAGCGGACAGAUGGGAGCUUGCUCCCUGAUGUUAGCGGCGGACGGGUGAGUAACACGUGGGUAACCUGCCUGUAAGACUGGGAUAACUCCGGGAAACCGGGGCUAAUACCGGAUGGUUGUUUGAACCGCAUGGUUCAAACAUAAAAGGUGGCUUCGGCUACCACUUACAGAUGGACCCGCGGCGCAUUAGCUAGUUGGUGAGGUAACGGCUCACCAAGGCAACGAUGCGUAGCCGACCUGAGAGGGUGAUCGGCCACACUGGGACUGAGACACGGCCCAGACUCCUACGGGAGGCAGCAGUAGGGAAUCUUCCGCAAUGGACGAAAGUCUGACGGAGCAACGCCGCGUGAGUGAUGAAGGUUUUCGGAUCGUAAAGCUCUGUUGUUAGGGAAGAACAAGUACCGUUCGAAUAGGGCGGUACCUUGACGGUACCUAACCAGAAAGCCACGGCUAACUACGUGCCAGCAGCCGCGGUAAUACGUAGGUGGCAAGCGUUGUCCGGAAUUAUUGGGCGUAAAGGGCUCGCAGGCGGUUUCUUAAGUCUGAUGUGAAAGCCCCCGGCUCAACCGGGGAGGGUCAUUGGAAACUGGGGAACUUGAGUGCAGAAGAGGAGAGUGGAAUUCCACGUGUAGCGGUGAAAUGCGUAGAGAUGUGGAGGAACACCAGUGGCGAAGGCGACUCUCUGGUCUGUAACUGACGCUGA
rnacentral:rRNA from 1 species